rnacentral:rRNA from 1 species
CCCUGGCUCAGGACGAACGCUGGCGGCAUGCCUAAUACAUGCAAGUCGAGCGGAGUUAGAAUGGAAGCUUGCUUCCAUUCUUGCUUAGCGGCGGACGGGUGAGUAACACGUAGGCAACCUGCCCUCAAGACUGGGAUAACUACCGGAAACGGUAGCUAAUACCGGAUAAUUUCUUUCCUCUCCUGAAGAGAGAAUGAAAGGCGGAGCAAUCUGCCACUUGGGGAUGGGCCUGCGGCGCAUUAGCUAGUUGGUGGGGUAACGGCUCACCAAGGCGACGAUGCGUAGCCGACCUGAGAGGGUGAACGGCCACACUGGGACUGAGACACGGCCCAGACUCCUACGGGAGGCAGCAGUAGGGAAUCUUCCGCAAUGGGCGAAAGCCUGACGGAGCAAUGCCGCGUGAGUGAUGAAGGUUUUCGGAUCGUAAAGCUCUGUUGCCAGGGAAGAACGUCCGGUAGAGUAACUGCUACCGGAGUGACGGUACCUGAGAAGAAAGCCCCGGCUAACUA